CACGCUGUAAACGAUGGAUACUAAAUGUAGGUGGAAUCGACUCUACCUGUAUUGAAGCUAACGCGAUAAGUAUCCCGCCUGAGUAGUACGGCCGCAAGGUUGAAACUUAAAGGAAUUGACGGGGACCCGCACAAGCAGCGGAGCAUGUUGUUUAAUUCGACGCAACACGAAGAACCUUACCAAGGCUUGACAUUGAAUGCAUAGUAUGGAAACAUAUGAAUUUGGUGUAGUAAUACAUCAACAUUUAAACAGAUGG
rnacentral:rRNA from 1 species